rnacentral:lncRNA from 10 species
UUUCCCUCUUCUUUCAGAUUUUUUACUUUCUUUCUCUCAAGAGGCUGUGAAACCACUUUAGGGUAUACAUCUGGUCAGACUACAAGUGUCCAAUGCUCUUGGAGACAUUUGUUACGAAGUAGUAGUUGGGUGACAUGGUUUCAUUGUUUUAAUGAAAGUGAAAUGGAAUUAAUACAUUUUUGUAUUAAAAUGGCUCUUUAGCGAUCUGACUGCUAGGGAAAACAACAAUUUUUUGUUCGACUGUGCUAAUAAGUCUUCAAAUUUAGUUCCCAAUAAACCUCACUUCCUGGUAUUCAUGCUUUUGUGUAUUCCACUCCCCACAAGUAUAAACUAAUCCUAGUGAUCAAUAAACUACAGUAAGUUGAUGAGAUGUCAAUCAUGUAAUUAACUUACAAAAGUUUGUGACUUCCAUGUUGCUAAAUCAUCCUCUCUAUUGCUUUUUUGACUUGCACAGUUUGAUGGAGAGACUCAAAUUAACAAAGAACUGUGGAAUAUUUCUAGCCAAAAGCCACUGGGGAACUGAUUCCUGCCAACAACCACUGAACUUCGAAGUAGAUCCAUCAGCAACUGGACCCUCAGAUGCGACCCAUGUAUGACACCUUGAUUGGGAUCCUGUGAGAGACCCUCAGGCAGAGCACCUAGUUAAGUCAAACUCAGAUCGCUGACUCCCAGAAACUGUAAGCACUCUCCUGCAUACCUGUCACCAAACCUCCAGGUCAAUCUCACAUUUACUCUUGAAGAAAUGGAGUCGAAGAUGAAAUAGAAAAUAAUUAGAUAAUGAAAUGCUAAUAUAGGAAUUGAAUGUCAGCUGCAGUGCUCAGAAGCAUAAGAUUGUGAUAAAUGUUUUGGAGGAAAAUAGAAAGAAGGCUGUGGUUUGAAACGUCUCAACAAACUUCCAAUCAUGCAAAACUUGAGGGAACGAGGAACAGCAAAGCUUGGCACUUUGGAAGCUUGAUAACAUCACAGCAUGGAAGAAAAGUGGAAGGAAGUUAUCACAAAGGAAUAACAAACAACGUGCUCUCCUUAAGCCAUCCUGACUACUCUAACAUCCUGCUUCCACUAAAAAUACUGACGGCCAAAUUCACAAAUAAGAGACAAGAUGGAAACUGAUUGAUUUCAC